rnacentral:rRNA from 1 species
AAACCAAUAAAGUUUUCUUUAUUGGGGUUGCGGACAUAUCAUAACGAAGAGGUAUCGUAAUUGAAGAGGUUUGGAAAGACCCACCACAGAAGGUAAUAGUCCUGUAUGUUAAACGAGAAGACUUCAGAUAUGAUCCAGAGUACCACGGGACACGUGAAACCCUGUGGGAAGCAGGAGGGACCCCCCUCCAAGGCUAAAUACUACCUAGUGACCGAUAGCGUAUAGUACCGUGAGGGAAAGGUGAAAAGAACCCCGGGAGGGGAGUGAAAUAGAACCUGA